rnacentral:rRNA from 1 species
UACGUAGGGACCGAGCGUUGUCCGGACUCAUUGGGCGUAAAGAGCUCGUAGGCGGCUGCUCAAGUCGAAUGUGAAAACUCGAGGCUCAACCUCGGGUCUGCAGUCGAUACCGGGCAAACUAGAGUAUUGCAGGGGAGACUGGAAUUCCUGGUGUAGCGGUGAAAUGCGCAGAUAUCAGGAGGAACACCGGUGGCGAAAGGCGGCUCUGGCGCGAACUAACUGACGCUGAG